rnacentral:hammerhead_ribozyme from 1 species
AUCCAACUGACGAGUCCUAAAUAGGACGAAAUGAGAGUCAAGUUGGAU